UUGAGUACAUUACUUGAUCAACCCAGGCCUUGGUUUCCUCAUUUAUUAAGUAAAGAUAACAACUACCUGGCAGUUUUGUUGCAAAGAGUAAAUGAAAUAACACAGGUGACGUGUGUAGGCUAGCAUCUGAUGCAAGGUAGAUGCAUAAAACAAAGACCGUGCAUACAUGGUUGAUGACUUCACUAAUGUAACUUCCAGUGCUUUUUGUGUGGUUGAGAUUCCAUUUUCAACAGGACAAAGUCUGCUUGCAGAGGAGAAAUACCACGGCAGCUUGAUGUGCAAUUGGGACUUAACCUCACACAAGACCCAAGAGUCCCCACGGAGGGCAUUCUCCAUGUGUUUCAACUUGGUGCAUCAUUCACCAAGCAUGUUCCCUCCGGAAAAGCAGGAGACCGCCCAAGCUUCCUGGGUAUCCUCCUGACUUAUCUAGGACUGAAUCUUGCAGUACUCUGAAGAAAACUGUAAUGUCAAAUACCACACAUUGCUUUCAUUAAUAUGUC